GUUAAAACACCUGGAGACCUAUACCUGUACAAAUGAAAGCAAGCCUGAAUACUUUUAUAGUUGGUACUCAGCAAAUCCUAGCGUUGAAAUUAUAUUAAAUGCCGAGAAGAUCAAGGGAAAGGUACGAGAUUUGAUAAUAAACUUAUUUAAUGCAAGGUGAGGUGGAAUUUUGGAAAUAGAAGAGGAAGAAGGCAUUUUUAUUAUGUAGUUGGUCUUGGAGGGGGAACCUCCCCUACCAGUUCCUAGGUUUUAAAGAGCAUCAGAAGAUAUCAGGGUCCUUCUGGGCUUGCUUACGCCUCAUUUCAAUUUACUCUCAUCGGGCCUUGGCCCUUUUCACCAUCCCUAAGUUAUAAUUGCUAAUCGACGGGAGCUUUAACUAUGUGGGCUCGUAACCAUGAGUCUCGGCUAUCAAGAUAGAUUAUGACUCUGUGUAGAGGUGUACAGUUUACCCAUACAUUUGAUCAGCCCGUACCUCCGCAUGUACUGACUUACGAGAUCCAUACCCGCCCAUGCCUAUCUCUAGGGAGUAUUCCCUAGGUCCAUCCACAGAUAUGUUGGGGUCUAAACAGGGGUGACUAUCAUUCGCUACGCGGAUAUCAAUCCGGAAAAAUGUGCACAAAGUAAGCAGGGCCUCUGCCCUCAGGGUCUCCGACCCUCUUAAUCAACCCGCACCGACCAGACCUGGGACUCUGCGAAGGUCCUGCUCCAGCAUCUCCGUUGCCCACCGUGGCCCCUUGGAUGGAUUUCUAGGUUCAGCUAGCGGGGUGUGAAACAAGGCCUCCCAUAAAUAGGAACUCCCGAAGGCUAUACCUUUUUGGCAUGUAUGGUUGCACAUUUCACUAGAAAGACUUUCCCAUGAGCCGGUUCUUAUGCGACUGAAGUAAGCUUUUGGGACAAGAUCCUCUACCGAAGCUACCCCCUUACUUCCUUAUCCUGUCCUUCAUGGCUACAAUUAGUUGGUUGAUUUUAUUACUAAACUCUCACUUUCAAGGAUUUUCCAUAAAACACAUAAUGGUUGUGUCCUAAAGAAUUCUAUUUCUAAAUGAUGCUCGGUCAUCGAUCUAGUCAUGAUCGGGGUCGUUAAUGGGAUUUCUGGCUAGAAACAGCUUCAUGUCAAGGCGAGAGAGGGAAUGGAGAUGGGUUGCUCCGAUAACCUUACAAAUAUGUAGGUCAAGUUAUUAUCUUAGUAUAUUUUAUUAUUCCUAAAAACAUAGGAUAAAAUAUGAUCAAGGAGGUUGGUGCUAGGACUUGGCGUCAUUAACGCUUCCUUUAACGCUUCUUAGGUCAACCAAGGUCUUGACUUCUCGUCCUUUUGGAUCCUCGGCUUCGGGGUGGAGCCUGGUCAUUUGCCGACUGGCAUAGGCGUAUAAAAUAAUAAUUGAUAAAAUAAUACAUCAAUCAAUACCUAAGAAAUGAAAACAAAGGAGGAUGACGUACAUUUUGGGAAUUACCUGGUAUUUAAAGGUGAAUUCCCGAAUAAAGGAUGAAAGGCUUAUUAAUUAUUUAGAAAUAAGUUUCUAAAUAAUUAAUGGAUAGAUUGGUUGGGUUUUCAAAAGAAUUCUAAGAAAUUAGGAACAGAUUUCCUAGCAUGACGGCUAGGUUUGGAUGAUAAUUUGAGAUUUGGAUGGGCGGCACUAUGGCUAGAUGGGGUUAAAGAUUAGGGUUUUGGUUGGGCAUUAUAACGACCAGGUUGGGAUGAUCUUGGGGGUUUAACUUGGGCAACACAACGUCUGCGAUGAGGAGUGGAUCGGAGACUCGGAUAGAUCCUUAAGGGGUUAGGGUCACUAGGGGAUUGUGGAACGAUACUUGAGAGCUUGUGCGACAAUUGGUCUGUCCCGGCACUAGGGGAUAGCACACAUUGCGGUAGACGCAGUCGGGCAAGAUCAAGCAAAUGCGUGGCAGCGAUUGGGGUCAGCAACAAUAAUAGAGUAGCGAGGAACACCCAGCUGAGUGAUGUUAACCACGCGGGUAAAGUGGCGAGAGGCCGCACGGCGCACUCAACUUUGACCCGUCCGGCACCUAGGGGUUAGGGCACGGUAGCGGGUGGAGGCAGUGCGGCAUCUUUCUUAAUAAGGCUGGGCUCUA
rnacentral:lncRNA from 1 species